GACUAAAAUACUAUUAAUAGUAUAUAAAUAGUGAUUACUAUUUACUUUUCCAUUCUUAAAUUAUUACUAUUCUAUUUCUACCAACUCCCCACUAAGCCCUGGGCAUUUAAUGAUCAAAAAGUAAACAGUAAAUACUAUUUACAUAUACUAUUAACAGUAUUCUAGUACAACUCUUUUUCUCUCUAUGUAUAUAUGGCUAAAUUACAGAAAAUUCUCUUGUAAUAAAUUGCUUUUUCACUUUUCCUUCCUGACAUUUAAAAACCUACACUUUGUCCCCCUGUAAAAUAAAAAAUGUGCACUUCACCCCCUACCAUUAGGGUUUCGUUAAAAAAUAUAUUUUUAUGCCGAAAAUACCCCUCCGUCAUCUUCCUAUUGCUUCGCCUCCCUCCGGCUCGCCGCCUCGCCGCCUAGCCGCCUCGCCGUCCUCCACUGUCUCGCCCUCACCUACAUCCUCUUCGCCGCCUCGCCUUCGCCUUCUUUGCCCUUCUCCUACUGUCGCACACCUUGGUUUUCUCCUACUGUCGCCGAAAUCGAGGGUGGCGAGGGUGCAGGAGGAGAGGGGGGCAUGUGGAGAAGGAAAUGGAGAGAAAUCGCGGCCGAUUGAGGUGGGAAUCGCGGCCGAACGAGGGGGCGGCUGAGGAAGAUGGGGAAGCAGACGACAAUGGCGAGGGUCAAAAUGGUCAUUUUACACACCGUAACCCCCCUGUGAACAUUUUUCAUUUUACAGGGGGGCAAAGUGUAGGUUUUUAAAUGUCAGGGGGGAAAAGUGAAAAAGCGAGUUAUUACAGGGAGAUUUUCUGUAAUUUAGCCUAUAUAUAUAUAUAUAUAUAUAUAUAUAUAUAUNAAAUAAGCGUAUUAUAAUUUUUUUCUUUUUUGCUUUAAAAAAUAUUGAAAGUUUACGAAACCCCAGAAAGUUAAAUAAAAACUAUCAAAUACCUAAAGAUAAAAUCUGUAAUAAAAUUUUAUAUUGUGAAAUCAGAUGUUAAUACAAAUAUGUAUUUAAUAUAUAUAUUUAAUAGAAUACUAUAUUUUAUAAAUAUAAUUAACAAUAUACCU
rnacentral:lncRNA from 1 species